CCUACGGGUGGCUGCAGUGAGGAAUAUUGGUCAAUGGACGAGAGUCUGAACCAGCCAAGUAGCGUGAAGGAUGACUGCCCUAUGGGUUGUAAACUUCUUUUAUAAAGGAAUAAAGUUAGGCACGUGUGCCUUUUUGUAUGUACUUUAUGAAUAAGGAUCGGCUAACUCCGUGCCAGCAGCCGCGGUAAUACGGAGGAUCCGAGCGUUAUCCGGAUUUAUUGGGUUUAAAGGGAGCGUAGAUGGGUUGUUAAGUCAGUUGUGAAAGUUUGCGGCUCAACCGUAAAAGUGCAAUUGAUACUGGCAGUCUUGAGUACAGUUGAGGUAGGCGGAAUUCGUGGUGUAGCGGUGAAAUGCUUAGAUAUCACGAAGAACUCCGAUUGCGAAGGCAGCCUACUAAACUGUGACUGACAUUGAUGCUCGAAAGUGUGGGUAUCAAACAGGAUUAGAUACCCCAGUAGUC
rnacentral:rRNA from 1 species